rnacentral:rRNA from 1 species
UACGAAUGGGGCAAGCGUUGUUCGGAAUCACUGGGCGUAAAGCGUGUGUAGGCGGUGUACCAAGUCAGGAGUGAAAUCCCAGGGCUCAACCCUGGAAUUGCUCUUGAAACUGGUGCGCUAGAGUACUGGAGAGGUUAGCAGAAUUCCGAGUGUAGAGGUGAAAUUCGCAGAUAUUCGGAGGAAUACCAGUGGCGUAAGCGGCUAACUGGACAGUAACUGACGCUGAGACACGAAAGCGUGGGGAUCAAACAGG